UACGAAGGGGGCGAGCGUUAUUCGGAAUAACUGGGCGUAAAGAGCGUGUAGGUGGUUAUAUAAGUCGAUUGUUAAAGCUCACGGCUUAACCGUGGAAGUGCAGUCGAAACUGUAUGGCUAGAGGUCAGGAGAGAGAAGCGGAAUUCUCGGAGUAGCGGUAAAAUGCGUAGAUCUCGAGAGGAACACCGAUGGCGAAGGCAGCUUCUUGGCCUGUACCUGACACUGUAGCGCGAAAGCGUGGGGAGCAAACAGG
rnacentral:rRNA from 1 species